rnacentral:rRNA from 1 species
UACGGAGGGUGCAAGCGUUAUCCGGAUUCACUGGGUUUAAAGGGUGCGUAGGUGGGUCUGUAAGUCAGUGGUGAAAUCUCUGAGCUUAACUCAGAAACUGCCGUUGAUACUAUAGAUCUUGAAUGUUGUGGAGGUGAGCGGAAUAUGUCAUGUAGCGGUGAAAUGCUUAGAUAUGACAUAGAACACCAAUUGCGAAGGCAGCUCACUACACAAAUAUUGACACUGAGGCACGAAAGCGUGGGGAUCAAACAGG